GACGAACGCUGGCGGCGUGCUUAACACAUGCAAGUCGAACGGAAAGGCGCUGCUUUUGUGGGGUGCUCGAGUGGCGAACGGGUGAGUCACACGAGGGUAACCUGCCCCUGCCUUUGGGAUAACUUCAGGAAAAUGGGGCUAAUACAGGAUAGGAACUCCUGCUGCAUGGUGGGGGUUGGAAAGUUUCGGCGGUUGGGGAUGGACUCGCGGCUUAUCAGCUUGUUGGUGGGGUAGUGGCUUACCAAGGCUUUGACGGGUAGCCGGCCUGAGAGGGUGACCGGCCCCAUUGGGACUGAGGUACGGCCCAGACUCCUACGGGAGGCAGCAGUGGGGAAUAUUGCACAAUGGGCGGAAGCCUGAUGCAGCAACGCCGCGUGCGGGAUGACGGCCUUCGGGUUGUAAACCGCUUUCGCCUGUGACGAAGCGUGAGUGACGGUAAUGGGUAAAGAAGCACCGGCUAACUACGUG
rnacentral:rRNA from 1 species